rnacentral:rRNA from 1 species
GUGGGGAAUAUUGCACAAUGGGGGAAACCCUGAUGCAGCCAUGCCGCGUGUGUGAAGAAGGCCUUCGGGUUGUAAAGCACUUUCAGCGAGGAGGAAAGGUCAGUAGCUAAUAUCUGCUGGCUGUGACGUUACUCGCAGAAGAAGCACCGGCUAACUCCGUGCCAGCAGCCGCGGUAAUACGGAGGGUGCAAGCGUUAAUCGGAAUUACUGGGCGUAAAGUGCACGCAGGCGGUUGGAUAAGUUAGAUGUGAAAGCCCCGGGCUCAACCUGGGAAUUGCAUUUAAAACUGUCCGGCUAGAGUCUUGUAGAGGGGGGUAGAAUUCCAGGUGUAGCGGUGAAAUGCGUAGAGAUCUGGAGGAAUACCGGUGGCGAAGGCGGCCCCCUGGACAAAGACUGACGCUCAGGUGCGAAGGCGUGGGGAGCAAACAGGAUUAGAAACCCGGGUAGUCC